CAGUCGCCACGGGAAUACGUAGGGUGCAAGCGUUAAUCGGAAUUACUGGGCGUAAAGCGUGCGUAGGCGGCUUCUUAAGUCGGAUGUGAAAUCCCUGAGCUUAACUUAGGAAUUGCAUUCGAUACUGGGAAGCUAGAGUAUGGGAGAGGAUGGUAGAAUUCCAGGUGUAGCGGUGAAAUGCGUAGAGAUCUGGAGGAAUACCGAUGGCGAAGGCAGCCAUCUGGCCUAAUACUGACGCUGAGGUACGAAAGCAUGGGGAGCAAACAGGAUUAGAUACCCCAGUAGUCCCUGUCUCUUAUAC
rnacentral:rRNA from 1 species